GAUAAUCACGUGACCGGUCAAUUCAUCCGGUGGUCGGAUGAUACAUCUUCGCUAAUCAAACUCCAAAACAACUAUGUGAUCACGUGACUUCUGGAUUUGAACUUAUUUCUUUAACAUUCUCUUUUGAUUUCGGAACUGCAAGACAACUAUGUAUGCUCAAACUAUCAUUAAAAUAAAUGCUAACGCA